rnacentral:lncRNA from 1 species
GGUAAUGGUGAAGGAAGUGAAGUUGCCUGGCCAGGAGAACAUCCCGGACGAGCUUUCUGCUUCCCAUUGGAAGAGCAAGAAUCUACGGCACGACCAGUGAAACCGUACGACACCCAGGGUUCCCGUGGACAGACGACAGGAAGAGAACCCUUCGCCGGGCACUGGAAAGUCGACGACGGCGGGAGAGAGUUCUUGAGGGGGGCAGAGAGAAACAAAGAGGUAAUUUGGAAAGCCGAGAGAGCGAGAGAGAGAGAGAGAGAGGAGGGUACGGUCCCNNNNNNNNNNNNNNNNNNNNAGGAACGACGAGAGAGCGAGAGAGAGAGAGAGAGAGGGUAGGCCCUUCUUCCCCCGAAGCCUCUGCACGGACGGACGGGCGGACCCAGGUCGGGAGAAAUAUCAACACCGAGAGACGAAUAUAUUUACGGAACGUGUCCUUAGGGCACCAUGGCUGAAGGAAUUCUUCUUGCCGAUGAGAGAGGAGCUACCA